rnacentral:rRNA from 1 species
UACGUAGGUGGCUAGCGUUGUCCGGAUUUACUGGGCGUAAAGAGCGCGCAGGCGGUCGUUCAAGUCGAGUGUGAAAGCCCCCGGCUCAACUGGGGAGGGUCACUCGAUACUGAUCGACUCGAAGGCAGGAGAGGGAAGCGGAAUUCCCGGUGUAGUGGUGAAAUGCGUAGAUAUCGGGAGGAACACCAGUGGCGAAGGCGGCUUUCUGGCCUGUUCUUGACGCUGAGGCGCGAAAGCUAGAGUAGCAAACGGG